AGCACCUACCUCAGAGUUCUUCUGGAGCGCGUAUCUUAACGUUACAUUUGAUAUCGCUGACAUAAGCCUAGUUCUGAUGAUUUUUUUACAGUCUACGGUUCAGAUGAAGUUCUGAAGAUUCAGCGCAGAAUUCAAUAAUCCUGUGGAUGGACCGCAGCGAGUCCUUUUGCAGUUAUCCAUCAAAAAGAUAUGCAGACAUAAUGGAAAUGGCAUUUACAUUGUAGAGCUUGGACGAAGUUCACACAGGCUCUGCGCAGGAAUUCAUCAAGGACAUGACUGCUGGGAUUACGCUUCUGGAUGACCAAUCUGAGCACCAUCAGUCUGCAGUCAUGUGGUCCAGGUAAUAGAAGAAGAAGAAAUCUGGGUGAUCUGGGGUUGUAACUCGUUGUUAGACGAUCUGUGUACUGUGUUAGACGAUCUGGGACUGGGACUAACAGAAAUAAACUAAUUCAGGUUUAA
rnacentral:lncRNA from 1 species